rnacentral:lncRNA from 1 species
CAGUGAAUGAGUCUGUUGAAAUCACCACACCAAAUUCAACAUUAAGGGCCAACCCUGACCACAGCUGAGCCGUGUGAAGAGGCUGACAGCGGCGUGGCCACCACCCAGGAUGGAGAGAAAGGCACCGUGAGGUGUUAAUGGAAAAAUCCAACUUCCUUUUCUUCCAAAGAUGAUGACUGAAACCAAAGUGGAGCUUUCCCUAUUAACCAAGUCAAUGAGAGAAAGACCCUGAAGGCACUUCAGAGCUCUUAGAGGCUGCCCUCCUAUCACAGGCGCAGAGCUCUAGGAGGGAAGAAUGGUUUCAGGGGACAGGCCCAGGGAACUCUUCAUGGGCUCUCUCCUCAGAGCUUACUCAUGUGAAGUGAAAGCAAAGUUUUAAAAUUUUUUCUCCUCUGCAAGAAAAUAUAUUUCAGAAAAUCCCUAUCUCAAAAAUGAAGCAAUUAAGAACUGUCUGGCUGUGAGGAUCUGGCCUCAACUUGACUUAAAGCAACAACUUCAGUUACGUAUCAAGAUGUGCAUGAGAAUGAACCUGCUCUGCUCAGCCAACGUGCUGAGUGACUUGAUGUUUGUAAUAAAGAAACUUUCUGAGAUGCAAGUGGGUGUUAAAUGGUUCAGCAAAGCCAAGCCAGAGCAGUUGGUGUGCUUUGAAAUGAAGCAACAUCGGAAAAAUGAAAUCUACCGAAAGAUCACUACGUGUUUCAAAGCCUUCAGACUCAGACUGGAACUGCACCGUUGGCUCUCCUGGGUGGGUCUCCAGCUUGCUGACCACAGACCUUGAGACUUCUCAGCCUUUAGAAUCAUGGAAGCCAAUUCCUUAUAAUAAUAUAUAUCCGUUUCCUAGUCUGUGGACUUUUCCCAGCUCCAGACAGACAAUCUUCUAUAAACUCCAGGAUGCUCCAUCAAUGCCCUGUCUAGACUCUACAGAUUUUGACCCUGAAGUAAAGUAGGAAAGGCUAUGGAGACAUGUUAAAUGUUGUACUACCGCCUGAAGCCUUUUCUUCUUUAAAUUUUUCAACAAGAGUUGAAUGCACACGUGGAUCUUAAUUGGACAACAACUUUUCUCCUCUUCUGUGGGAUCCCGUCAGUGCUUUAAGCAAUGAGAAGGCAGCUCAUUUCCAAGUUUGUGUGGUAAAUUUGGGGCAAGUGGGAGAAAAGAAAGAAAGGCUAAGUCUUAUAGGGUGUGAUUUGGUUCUAGACAUGCUUAUGUUACUUUUUAUAAGAUUAUCCAUUUGACUAGAUUUCUUUCCUGCUGACAAAAGAGGCAAUUUCUACAUAUAAAAUAAAUCUGAUUAAAACUCUUUCUCUGUUCCUGUCAAGGUAAUAGAUGCAGACCCCAGGAACAGAAUAUAUUUGGAUUCCUAGUGUGUGCAAAUGAUUGUUUAUGUGAUAUCUGGUGCCAAGACCCACAGAAGGCUCCUGUACUGCCCUGUAAAAAUAACGGGAAUGGAAAGCUUUUCCUUAGGCAUAAAAAGUUAAUUUUAUUUCUUAUUCUCUUUCACAGUGGUAACUAUUACUUUGUAAUUUUCCUGGUAUUUUGUUGGCAGCCAAAAAUGACACAAGUAAUAGUCCUUGCCUACAAUAUGCAGUUCCGAUUCAUUUUGCUUAGCUCAAGUUGCCUCCUAUAAUAAAGGUGGUGGCACUAGACCUUAAGCAUAGGUCUAAACUAGAGCAAAUUUCUUAAGCCCGUUUUUAAUCAGAUAGGCAGAACAAGUUCAAAUCCUUUCCAUUCCUUUAUCCUAGUAGGGUUUUUAGAACACACCAAAUAGCAAGAAAUGAAUGCAGCUUUAGUAAUUAACAUUGAUAACUCUUCUCAGCCUCCAACUGAGUGAACAGCCUCUUUCAGGCCAGUCAAGAGCCAUUCUGUAUAAUCCUAUCUGCAUGUUAUCUUGACAGUGGGAGAUAGUGAGUCAUAGACAAAGGCCAAGGUGUUGGGCCUGAGCUAACCAAGUGCGUUGAGAAUGGAGGCAGUCUCCCAGGAUCUGGGACAGGUGUGAGGAGCCACCAGGAGCCAGGGACCAUUAAGUGGAUGGGUUAGUCAAAGCAUUACUUCAUAAAUCCAGGCAGACACAGAGGUCUGUGUAUUUACAGACACCACUUGUCAAGAGAAGUGGCAGCCUUGAAACCAGAAGGCACAAACACUGAAAAAUCAGGUGGUUCAGGAUGCUAAUGGUCCUAUUAGGCAGUCACGCAUCAGAGGAUCCAUGGUAGACAACAGAGCACCACAAAGGCCCCAUGUUGGGCAUGGCUUCUAUGCUAGAAUCCACCUCUAUGCAGACAAAGGACUAUCAUGUGCUUCUUCUCUUAAACAAAGAAAUCCAUGUGUGGCUUGUCCAGGGCCUUCAGAUGCAAACAAGCAACUUAGACCGCCAAAAAGGGAUAUGGCAUUGGCCGGGGAUAUGCAUUCCUGAAAAUGUAAAACGUUACUUUGUGCCUCCUUUACUUAAAGCAGUUAGUGAGUAACUAAGUUAUGGAGAAGCUUAGAAACUAAAACACUCUGGCUUGCUUUGAAUGUGGCCAUUUUUACAGGUAAGAAAGCUGGGACCCAGAAAAAUGCACUGAUUUACCCAAGGAAGCAGAGCUGGGAACAGAAUACAUGGCUUCUAAUCUACUGAUCAUUUCACUGUGUCACACUAUUUAAGAUGUAGAAACAGCUAAAUUCAUCUUGUCAACUCAGAAUCCUUUAGUAUCUGUGUCCAGAGGAGGAUUUGCCUGCACUCUAAGGGCUUUGGGUUUGUCUGGGAAGGGCUUAUUUUUCACUUGCUUUCUUAGGUAGGAAAUCAGGGUGGGAGAUCUCAGUCAGCAUCAAUGCCUUCCUUCCUGUGGAUCUGGAUGUCUUUUAAUGCACUCAUGAGCCUAGUGUGAAGCCUGGCCACAGAGAUCCUGAGAAUUGUACUCAAGAGAGUUUGAGCUUCAGAUGUCAUGGGUGUUCCCUGUUCUAGAGAUAAUGGUGUAAAGUGACACAGACACAGCAUGUGCUGGCUGGAGGACAGAUAAAAAUAACAAAUACUCUUAAUUGAGUACAGUGAUUCAAUUUUGCAAGACAGGCAGCAGCUAAAGAGAUCUAUUGGCACUUUAUAGGUAAUGUUGAGCGAUAAAAUAAUAGUGAUGAUUAUGCAGAGAAGGAAGAGUAGCAAAAAUUGCAGUCUCUGUGUCUGGCACAGUACUUAGCCCAUAAUUAAUAUAAAUUAUGUAUCUUAGCCAACAGUACUUAGAUGCAUAAUUAAUAUUAUGGAAUUGGAUAAACUGAACUGAUGACUAUGACCCAUAAUCCAUAAUCAUGACCCAUGACCAUGACAGGGAUGGUGCAGGAUCAGUGUGAAUUCUGUUUCAGUAGGUGAGGACCAGCACAGACUGGAGAUAAAACUGUGGUUUGGCAUUCUUCCAUUUUUACUUUGCUCAUUUUUUAAGGCAGGCAGUUUGUACCUCAUUGAUUUUCACUGCUCAUCAAGUCCUAUUAGCCUAUUCAUUAGUGAUGGCUUCAUUCCCUUCCCACAGUCUGUCUCCUGAAUGACACUUCCUUGUGUUAAGGCUGUACUUAGCCCUAGCCAUGAUUGCUGGGUAUCGACAGAAUGUGGCAUGACCAGCAGGGCCUGCUGGCUGGCAAGUAGCACCCUUCUCCAACACAUUGGUACCCACAGAAAGAAGGUGGCAAUUUCCAUUACAAGGAAGAUCAGGUUGUCAACUGAUAUUAUAGUUCCAGUCUCUCUCUCUUUCUGUCUGCCACCCACACACCUUCACACUCACUUGUCUAAAUAUAAAUAUGAACACAUUAUCAUAACCCCAAGCCUGUUCUUGCAGCUAAAUUUAUUUUCUCACUGGAACCACAGUUCACUUAUCAGCCAAACUAGAGGCCCAGAGUCAUCUCUCUCUGUUUUGCUCUUCCCCACAUCUGAUCAGGCACCAAGCUCCAACCGUGCUUCCUUAGACACCACUCUUGAGACCUCCCCUUCUCUGUUUUUCCACUUCUAUUGCUCUAGUAUAGUUAUUAUACUAGUUCUAUUGCUCUAGUAUAGUAUAUUAUACUAUCAUCUUUCACCUGGACUUAAAGACUCCAGAUAGUUCCAUCUUUCUAAUUCCUCUUCCCCGGUGCAAAGUGAGGAUGCAGAGUACCUGUGGAAAGGCUAAGGGAAGACAGACUCCAGGCAUGAGAGAGAGGAAUACCAGCAAAUAUGUAUUGAACACUUAAUGUGCCAGGGCAUUGAUUUACUAAUAUUUACAUUUGUUUUUACUUAAUUCUCACAAAAACCUGAAUGUACAUACCAUAAUUAUCUCCAUUUUAUGGAUAAGAGAAUCGAGGCUAAGAAAUUUUAAGUGAUGUAUAAGAUCGUAUAUAAGGAAGUGGCAGAGCUGGACUCAAACCAAGGGUCCAGUUUGUCUAACUCUUAGGUCCGUGUCAUUGUCAUCACCACAUUCUACCUUUCUAGUUGCUCUAUACUAGAGGUUAUCACCUAAGGGGUUUGUUAAAACUGUGUUUUAACAAACACAGAUUACUGGACACAACCCCCCAGAGUUUCUGAUUCAAGUCUGGGAUGAGGCCUGAGAAUCUGAGAAGUUGCAUGUUUAUCAAAGUCCCAAGAGAUGAUGACGCUGCUGAACCAGUGACCACACAUGAAAGCCUUCGCCCCAGCCUUUGGCAUUUAUUUUUGGCACUUUCUCCUCAGGCACAGCACAAGUGGUUCAAACUUCAGGCUUACAUAUCAGACCAGUUUGAGUCCUGGAUCUGUUACUCAGUAGCUCUGUGUCUGUGGGCCACUUUAUUUAACCGCACUAAGCCUCAGCUACCCCUUCUACAAAAUGGGAAUAGAACCUACCUUGCAAAGAUGUUUGAGGACUGGGAAUCAUGUAUGUAAAACUCAGAGCUCUGUGAUUUGCACAGAUUUGGACUUAAUAAAUGUUAGCAGUUUAGG